rnacentral:rRNA from 1 species
GUAAUGUCUGGGAAACUGCCUGAUGGAGGGGGAUAACUACUGGAAACGGUGGCUAAUACCGCAUAACGUCGCAAGACCAAAGAGGGGGACCUUCGGGCCUCUUGCCAUCAGAUGUGCCCAGAUGGGAUUAGCUAGUUGGUGAGGUAACGGCUCACCAAGGCGACGAUCCCUAGCUGGUCUGAGAGGAUGACCAGCCACACUGGAACUGAGACACGGUCCAGACUCCUACGGGAGGCAGCAGUGGGGAAUAUUGCACAAUGGGCGCAAGCCUGAUGCAGCCAUGCCGCGUGUAUGAAGAAGGCCUUCGGGUUGUAAAGUACUUUCAGCGGGGAGGAAGGUGUUGUGGUUAAUAACCGCAGCAAUUGACGUUACCCGCAGAAGAAGCACCGGCUAACUCCGUGCCAGCAGCCGCGGUAAUACGGAGGGUGCAAGCGUUAAUCGGAAUUACUGGGCGUAAAGCGCACGCAGGCGGUCUGUCAAGUCGGAUGUGAAAUCCCCGGGCUCAACCUGGGAACUGCAUUCGAAACUGGCAGGCUUGAGUCUUGUAGAGGGGGGUAGAAUUCCAGGUGUAGCGGUGAAAUGCGUAGAGAUCUGGAGGAAUACCGGUGGCGAAGGCGGCCCCCUGGACAAAG